GGACACGCAGUGACAGAAACCAGGGGAGCAUGGUUGGGAAAGGGGGGGACCCACAGGGUUUGCUGGGAACAGCAUCCAAGUCCUCCACUAUGGAUCACACACUGCCUGGCUGUUCCACACCGGCCAAAGGACAGAGCCAGAGGUCACCAAGGAGGGGCAGGAAGCUCCCACACCAGUUCUAAAAAGACUUGGCCCUUUGGGUGAAGUUCUCUUUGGUCAUUGGCCCAGCAAGGUCCGACAGAGUCACAGAGAUUCUGUGGUCCAGCAGAUCCAUCAGCAGGAGAGAUGGAGCCAGAAAGUCUCUGCAAAACUCCUCUGACAAGACCUCAAAGAGCAUGCAUGAGAGGAAAAGAAACUUACACAUCUCAGAAACCCUCAGCCUUGUGUCUUAAUUAAAGAGCAGCAUGCUCCGGACUAUUCCACACCUGGAGUAAGUGGGACAAGGAGUAACCCCAGCCCCAGCACCCAGGGAAAUGCUGCACACGCUGCCAGUGGAGCCCUCCUGGCACACCCCGACCCCAGGGCCCAGCUUACACAGCUGGGCUGUGAUGUCCACUCAGGCUGGAGGCUGAACAGCAGAGCCUGAGCCUGCUUUCCAGAGGCUCAGGAAAGCUGAGAGGUGCCAGCAAACAGCGUCUACCCCAUCACAGACCACGGCCACUCAACCUGGGAAGAGCAGGUCCCCAGGGGCCGCCGGCAGCACGAGAGGCAGCGUCCCAGCCCAUUCCCAGAGUCCGCCACAGCAAACCUUAGAAUAAAUACCCCGGAGGAUCCCAGGGAGACAGAACAGCCUUAUCCACCCCCUCAGGCAGCUCUGCUCAGUUCAGCUCUGAGAAACAUCGGGCUGCCGAGUCCCAGAGCUGCCGCGUGGGAAUGAGGAGCAGCAGCCUGGCAGGGGUGGGCUGCGCCGUUGUUAUUUAUUCCUCGCAGUGAUUGCAGAUAAGCCCAGCCUGGCAGGUUUUGCUCCAGCUGCCUGUCUGUCCACAUGUGCAGUGAGGACGAGGCUGGUGAGAUGCCUGGACAGGUGAUUGCAUUUUCUGAACAGGAUAAAUAGUAAAUAAAAG
rnacentral:lncRNA from 1 species